rnacentral:rRNA from 1 species
AUUGAACGCUGGCGGCGUGCUUAACACAUGCAAGUCGAACGCGAAAGGGACUUCGGUCCUGAGUAAAGUGGCGCACGGGUGAGUAACGCGUGGAUAAUCUGCCCUUAUGAUUGGAAUAACAGUUGGAAACGGCUGCUAAUACCGGAUACGCUCAAAAUGAACUUUUUGAGGAAAGAUGGCCUCUGCUUGCAUGCUAUCGCAUAAGGAUGAGUCCGCGUCCCAUUAGCUUGUUGGCGGGGUAACGGCCCACCAAGGCAACGAUGGGUAGCCGAUUUGAGAGGAUGAUCGGCCACACUGGAACUGAAACACGGUCCAGACUCCUACGGGAGGCAGCAGUGGGGAAUAUUGCGCAAUGGGCGAAAGCCUGACGCAGCGACGCCGCGUGAGGGAUGAAGGUUUCGGAUCGUAAACCUCUGUCAGAGGAAGAACUACGUUAGGUGCUAAUCAGCAGCGUACUGACGGUACCUUCAAAGGAAGCACCGG